GAUGAACGCUAGCGGCAGGCCUAAUACAUGCAAGUCGAACGGGAUUGCGGUGUAGCUUGCUACACUGCAUGAGAGUGGCGCACGGGUGCGUAACGCGUGAUCAACCUACCCAUAUCAGGGGGAUAGCCCGGAGAAAUCCGGAUUAACACCGCAUGGGACAGUAUUACCGCAUGGUAUAGCUGUUAAAUAUUUAUAGGAUAUGGAUGGGCUCGCGUGACAUUAGCUAGUUGGUGGGGUAACGGCCCACCAAGGCGACGAUGUCUAGGGGCUCUGAGAGGAGAAUCCCCCACACUGGUACUGAGACACGGACCAGACUCCUACGGGAGGCAGCAGUAAGGAAUAUUGGUCAAUGGGCGGAAGCCUGAACCAGCCAUGCCGCGUGCAGGACGACUGCCCUAUGGGUUGUAAACUGCUUUUGUACGGGAAUAACCCUCUCUACGAGUAGAGAGCUGAACGUACCGUAAGAAUAAGGAUCGGCUAACUCCGUGCCAGCCGCCGCCGUAA
rnacentral:rRNA from 1 species